UAUACUUUAAACGGCAUAAGUAUAUAUGUACUUGUUAAUUCGUUAAAGUUUAUUAUCUAAUGAGUACUUAAUACGCAAUUAUACGUAAAGAAGGUAAAAUUGGAAGAACAAAGGAUAACGGAUGGAACAUAUGCCGUAAAUCCUUAAGGAUAUAAAAAUGAAAAUUUUUAGAGAAUCGAAGAGUUUGAGUUUUGACUGAAUAUACAGCAUGGAUAGCUGCAGCCGACCAAUUGAUAGUUUGAAGACCCGUAGGAAAGAAGAACUACAAAAUAUUAUUGAUAAUAAACAAUGUUUCGUGAUUUUUGGUGAGUUUCGUCAAAAUUUUAAUGUACGGUA